AGCUUUUCAACGAAAAGGUGCAGGCAAAUAAGCAUAGAUAGGGACAAGAUAAAAGCUAUCCAAGAGUAGAAAGUCCCCACUUCGGCAACCGAUGUGCAAUCCUUCUUAGUAUUGACAAAUUAUUAUAGACAGUUCGUCGAAGGGUUUUCACGACGAGUCACCCCAUUAACAGAACUGCUGAAAAAAGACCAUCCUUGGUUGUGGCAGAUGAAUGCCAAAAGGCAUUCGAAGACUUGAAAGCAACAAUGACGAGGGACCCUUUCCUCGACUUGGUCGACGUUUCAAAACCUUUUGAAAUAGAAAUAGACGCAUCUGACUUUGCCCUUGGUGUGUCCUCAUCUAGGAGGGCCUCCCCAUUGCCUACUUAAGCCAGAAGCUCAAUAGCAGAGACAGAGAGAGGAGGUACACAGUAUCUAAGAAAAAUGUUAGUUGUUGUUCAUUCUCUCAAAGUUCGGAGACAACAUCUAUUGGGACUUCGUAGUGAGAACGGACAACAAUGCCAUUUGUCACUUUUUUUACCAACUAAAAUUGACAUCAAAGCAAGCUCGGUGGCAAGAAUCAUUAGCAUAAUUCAACUUCAAAUUCAAGCAUAAAGCGGGAAAGAGAAACCAAGCUUCCAAUGCUCUGAGUCGAAAGAGUGAACAUGCAGUCCUAUGCAUGUUAGCCCACAUUCAUUCUAGUAAGAUCGAUGGGUCAAUGUGAGAUAUAAUACGAGAACACUUACAAAGAGACCCUUCGGCCAAGUCUGUUAUUGAGUUAACCAGAGCUGAGAAGACUAGACAGUUCUGGGUUGAAGGAGACCUUCUGCUGGCAAAAUGAAACUAACUAUAUGUCCCA